AGGUUGAAAUCAGGUUAAAUCGUAAAAAUCGGAUGAAAUCGCGUAACAUCGCGAUUUCAGGACCGAUUUUGCGAUUGUGCCAAAAUAAGGUGCCGAAAUAAAAUCCCCCUCUCUUGUCCAGCUGUCAAGCACCUAUUGCAUUUUUUUGCACAGUCACGGACUCACAUGACUCUCUUCACUUUAGUGAAUUAAUUCAUUGCCUUCAAUCUUCACAAAUCACAAAGCAGAAAAUACUCUUCCCAAGUUUCCCAGCUGAACAAAUCCCUAAUCGGCAACCAUAACAACGGCGACAACGAUCUCCAUCCUCCACAAAAGCGGUCAAUGACAGUGCUUACAGUCCAGUGACUCAGUUUUCACUCCUUCUUUUUCCUCAGUGCUCACGGUCGCGACAACACAUGAACCAAGAUUGGUAUGUUCAAAGACCUCUACUGCAGUCUCUGAAAUUGAAGUGCUUCUUGAAUAAAAAUUGAAAUUAAGCAACGGGCCGACGACAAUCUCCUCAACAACUCACGGCUUCGGGCUUCCUCUGCAAUCUUUAUUAACAGCAGCACGCCGGCAACAAUCUCCUUUCUUUUCCAUCUUCAACAGCAGCAGGCGACAUCGGGCCUCUUCACCAGCAGCCGUUCAGCUCAUCAUCAUCAUCUUCAACAGUAGCGGGCGACACCAUAAGUUCAUUUUGCCUUCAUCAUCAUCACUGCAGUAGUAGAUUUUGCCCCUGUAAUAGAUUUGUAUUUUGCUCUGUUAAGUGUUGAGUUUAAUUGUCCGGUAAUAAAGAUUUGCAUUUUGCCCUGUUCAUUUUGCCUUCAAAAUCUUCUAAUAGAUUUGUAUUUUGCCCUGUAAUUCAUUUUGCCCAGUCCUGUAAUUUGUAUAUGUAUAAUGUUGAAUUGAAUGGAAUUGAUCGGGUGAGAAAAUUGUUGAAUUGAA